rnacentral:rRNA from 1 species
GAUGAACGCUAGCUACAGGCUUAACACAUGCAAGUCGAGGGGUAACGAGAGGAAAGCUUGCUUUCCUUGUCGACGACCGGCGCACGGGUGAGUAACGCGUAUCCAACCUGCCCCCAACUAGGGAAUAACCUUGCGAAAGUAAGACUAAUACCCUAUAAUUUCCUCAGAUGUCAUCUGACGAGGAAUAAAGAUUUAUCGGUUGUGGAUGGGGAUGCGUCUGAUUGGCUUGUUGGCGGGGUAACGGCCCACCAAGGCAACGAUCAGUAGGGGUUCUGAGAGGAAGGUCACCCACAGUGGAACUGAGACAAGGUCCAAACUCCUACGGGAGGCAGCAGUGAGGAAUAUUGGUCAAUGGGCGGAAGCCUGAACCAGCCAAGUAGCGUGCAGGAUGACGGCCCUAUGGGUUGUAAACUGCUUUUAUACAGGAAUAAAGUUAGCCACGUGUGGUUAUUUGUAGGUACUGUAUGAAUAAGGGCCGGCUAAUUCCGUGCCAGCAGCCGCCGUAA